ACAAGUAUAGUUAAGUGGUAUAACUUCUGUCUUCCAAAUAGAAAUCAUCAGUUCGAAUCUGAUUACUUGUA
rnacentral:tRNA from 1 species